ACGGAGGGUGCAAGCGUUAUCCGGAUUCACUGGGUUUAAAGGGUCCGUAGGCGGUUUAGUAAGUCAGUGGUGAAAGCCCAUCGCUCAACGGUGGAACGGCCAUUGAUACUGCUUAACUUGAAUUACUAGGAAGUAACUAGAAUAUGUAGUGUAGCGGUGAAAUGCUUAGAGAUUACAUGGAAUACCAAUUGCGAAGGCAGGUUACUACUAGUGGAUUGACGCUGAUGGACGGAAGCGUGGGUAGCGAACAGGA
rnacentral:rRNA from 1 species